rnacentral:rRNA from 1 species
UACAGAGGUCUCAAGCGUUGUUCGGAUUCAUUGGGCGUAAAGGGUGCGUAGGCGGCGCGGUAAGUCGGGUGUGAAAUUUCGAGGCUUAACUUCGAAACUGCAUUCGAUACUGCCGUGCUAGAGGACUGGAGAGGAGACUGGAAUUUACGGUGUAGCGGUGAAAUGCGCAGAUAUCAGGAGGAACACCGGUGGCGAAGGCGGGUCUCUGGGCCGUAACUGACGCUGAGGAGCGAAAGCGUGGGGAGCGAACAGG